GGGCGUAUGGAUAAUUUAGAAGAUUAACAGUGAUGUUGAUUGGAAUUAUCUUUAGUGCAGAUCUUGGUGGUAGUAGCAAAUAUUCAAUAGAGAACAUUGAAGACUGAAGUGGAGAAAGGUUUCACAUGAACAACACUUGGAUGUGAGUUAGUCGAUCCUAAACGGUGGGUUAACUCCAAAUACAUGAAUACUUGUAUUCUGUACCGUGAAAGGGAAACAGGUUAAUAUUCCUGUACUAUGUCAAGGAGGUAAAAUGGUAACAUAAAAUGAACCCAAAUACAUCAGUAGAAUAACCAGGAAGAGUUCUCUUUUCUUUUUAACGUACUUCCUCGCAAGGGGUGGUAUAAUGACCAUGGAAUCAAUUUAGUUUGGAGAAAUAGGUUAAAGAGUCGGUAGAGUAAUAC
rnacentral:rRNA from 1 species